CAGUCUCCGCGGUAAUACGAGGGGUGCAAGCGUUAUUCGGAUUGAUUGGGUGUAAAGGGUGUGCAGACGGCUUAUUAAGUCACUUGUUAAAUUCUUCGGCCUAACUGAAGGUCUGCAAGUGAUACUGAUGAGCUAGAGGGUGGAAGAGAGAAGUGGAAUUCUCGGAGUAGCGGUAAAAUGCGUAGAUCUCGAGAGGAACACCGAUGGCGAAGGCAGCUUCUUGGUCCAUUCCUGACGUUCAUACACGAAAGCGUGGGGAGCAAACAGGAUUAGAUACCCCGGUAGUCCCUGUCUCUUAUAC
rnacentral:rRNA from 1 species